rnacentral:tRNA from 1 species
UGGAGGCGUGGCCGAGCGGUUGAAGGCAGCGGUCUUGAAAACCGCAGAAGGUGAAAGCCUUCCGUAGGUUCGAAUCCUACCGCCUCCGA